GACAGAGGGUGCAAACGUUGUCCGGAAUUAUUGGGCGUAAAGAGCUCGUAGGCGGUUUGUCGCGUCGAAUGUGAAAACCCGGGGCUCAACCCCGGGCCGCAUUCGAUACGGGCAGACUAGAGUUCGGUAGGGGAGUCUGGAAUUCCUGGUGUAGCGGUGAAAUGCGCAGGAUAUCAGGAGGAACACCGGUGGCGAAGGCGGGACUCUGGGCCGAUACUGACGCUGGAGGAGCGAAAGCGUGGGGAGCAAACAGG
rnacentral:rRNA from 1 species